rfam:Pythium ultimum DAOM BR144 ctg_1117875580944, whole genome shotgun sequence.
GCUGGUGUAGCUUAGUGGUAAAGUCCUCGUUUCACACGCGAGACGCCAGUGGUUCGAUUCCACCCAUCAGCA